GUGGGGAAUAUUGCACAAUGGGGGAAACCCUGAUGCAGCGACGCCGCGUGAGCGAAGAAGUAUUUCGGUAUGUAAAGCUCUAUCAGCAGGGAAGAAAAAUGACGGUACCUGAGUAAGAAGCACCGGCUAAAUACGUGCCAGCAGCCGCGGUAAUACGUAUGGUGCAAGCGUUAUCCGGAUUUACUGGGUGUAAAGGGAGCGCAGGCGGUGCGGCAAGUCUGAUGUGAAAGCCCGGGGCUCAACCCCGGGACUGCAUUGGAAACUACCGUACUAGAGUGUCGGAGAGGUAAGUGGAAUUCCUAGUGUAGCGGUGAAAUGCGUAGAUAUUAGGAGGAACACCAGUGGCGAAGGCGGCUUACUGGACGAUAACUGACGCUGAGGCUCGAAAGCGUGGGGAGCAAACAGGAUUAGAAACCCGAGUAGUCC
rnacentral:rRNA from 1 species